GUCCACGCCCUAAACGAUGUCGACUAGUUGUUGGGGAAGGUAACUUCCUUAGUAACGUAGCUAACGCGCGAAGUCGACCGCCUGGGGAGUACGGCCGCAAGGUUAAAACUCAAAGGAAUUGACGGGGACCCGCACAAGCGGUGGAUGAUGUGGAUUAAUUCGAUGCAACGCGAAAAACCUUACCUACCCUUGACAUGCUAGGAACCCUGCUGAGAGGCGGGGGUGCCCGAAAGGGAGCCUAGACACAGGUGCUGCAUGGCUGUCGU
rnacentral:rRNA from 1 species